rnacentral:lncRNA from 1 species
AUACCGCCCCCUGCUGGACGACCGUGCUGCAAACACCGCAGUGAAGACGAGGCAGGCUGGGAACAGUUGAAAUGGUAAAGGUCAGGGGUCUCAUUUUCUCUUCCUGGUCUAUCUGACAGGGUAAAACAUGUCGCCAGUGAAGACUGCGUAUGUGUCUCUCUCUGGCUCUCAGCAAGGCUCCAGUGAAGGAGAGGACCGGACCGUGGAGCAGCCCGAGGCCCGCUCUCAGUUUCCGAGGCCGAGCAGGAGCGGGAGCCAGCGGGCCGCAGGGGAGCAGACCCGGUCCGUGUUGAAAGUGAAAUUACCAAACCUGCAUUUGUCCAAGAAGGCGACAAAGAGGGACAAAAGCUCGACGACAUGGACCGAGCUCAGCGCACAGACACCCGGCACAACCACGGCCACAGGAGACGGAGCGAGUGUCGGCACAGAUUCUCAGUCUGCUGGUGGAAGUGUUUUCUUGUUCUCCCAAAGCCCCACCAGCAAACCAACCAACGAGAAGGAGAAGGUAGGCUGUAUGCAAAACGUACGCUUUUCCUACUAUAACAAGCCAAUAAAAAAGGAAGAACUAGGCCUGAUGAUAAAGCUGCUCAAUCUGCAGCUCCUCGUCUACUUCACAGACAUACAAGCUCUUUUAUUUACCCUUCUUUCUUUUCCUGGUAACGUCACCUGUUCUGGAUAGGCCAAGUUUGCUGUUCUUAGGACCAUCUCCAAGAUGCUGGAGGAGAACCAGCUUAUUAGACAGAGACUGGCUGCCAUCCGCCAGACCAACUGAGGCUGCACCGAGUGACUGAGAUAGCCCGCAGCCCUAGCCUAGCUGGUCAUUUACCUUUAAAAUACAUCAUCAGUGUUUUAACUAGUUGGUAUGUUUAGUUCUUGAAGCAUGCAGAGUUGAUGUCAGUGUCACAACAAGGAUCUAGUUUGAUGCCUCAUCUGUAUUUGUAAUUGCUUCUACGUGCUUCACAUGUGCUGUGAGGCCAUAAAGCUGAGAACAGUCUUUUACACAGUGUUUAGUGUUAUCAUAAUAAAAUAGUCCAUAUUCAAAUCGUUAUGCUUACAUCUUUAUUCAAAUUAGUCUGGUUAUUUACAGUUUUACAAUAUAACUAAAUU